CGAUUCUCAGCAACGAGAGCCGACCUCGUGACGGCGCCGGCCAGCCAGGAUCCAUAGCGACGCGGUGGCGCCGUUCGCCGGAGUAGCGCGCCUCGACAAGAGGCCGCGCGCUGCUCCUUCGAACGGCGCUGAGCCCAGCGCAGAGGCGGGGUGUCGUCUUCCUCCGUAAGUACGGCACAUCGGCGUCAACUUCCCGUGCGUCGUCCCGAGAGACCACGACAUCCUGGUCCUCGUGCGGCGUCGUCGCGCGGGAUCCCGGACGUGAGGCACCAACGCGGCGCCAUCAGUUUCAUCUUUAAAUCUUGAGUUCAUCAACUGAAGGAGAUGUCUGUGGUUAGGUUACAAGGCGGCAGUCCAGAGCAUUUGGGCAGUGGUUUCGUUGCUUACUGCAACGGAUGUUCAUGUCUAGUAAUGACAUCUUACCAUGUUGUUAAAUCAGCCUUCAUUAAUGGUCUUAUGAUUACGGUUAUCUUUCCUGGUGGACAACCGCGCUUUCAAGCCGAUGUACAAAAUUUAUCCGAGCCUGGGGAUCUUGCUAUACUUCAGUUUGAUUGUGAGGGCUAUAUGUUUGAACCUCUGCUGUUCGCUGAAAUAUCUACCAAUCCUGAUUUAUUUCCAUGGACGGUUUAUUUGCAUGGAUAUUACAAUGGUAAACGUGGACAACUUAUCAGACCUUCGACAUUACCUGGCCAAAUUGACGGUAUGUACGUAAAUCAAGAAACUGGUGUUCAUAUGCUUUAUGCAAAUUACACCAGUAACCCUGGAAUGUCUGGUGGACCAAUUAUUAUGGGAGGUAGAGUCUUGGAGUCAACAAAGGGGCUGAGGCAGGAACGAGACUUGCUGUUUCAGUCCUGGGUGUACACCAUGCUAGAGGAUUGGACUGGCGGAGCAGAAACAAUUGCUGAGAUGCUUGAAAUGCUUGAAGAGCUUGACUAUUAAAAUAAUCAAUCUUGCAGCACCAAGUAUUAAAGCCUUCAAUGAAGUAUCAGUUACUUGGAGUGAAUGUUUGAUACGCUGCUGGAGCCUCAGGGUGGAGUGAAAGAUGGUUUAUUGCUUCCAUACAUUAAGCCGUCGUUUAUUUUGGAAGUUGUCUGAGUGCGAUGUGUAAUUUGUAUCUCUAUACGGUUGUUAUUUAAGUUAUUCUUGUCCGAGUGACUACAUCAGACUAUCAAGGAUUGUUAUUUGUUAUGUACCAAUGUGGAGUCACAUAGGUUAUUUGUGCCUGUAGAGUAAGAAUUAUAUUAAUGUGAUGGACUCCUGUCUAUAAGAUUCGUAAUGCUUGUUGGUGUA